CUGCAGUGAUGCUUUUCUUAGGACACCUUUGGAGUUAGCCGUGAAAUAACCAAUCAGUUCUGAGCGGC
ensembl:snoRNA SNORD58 Small nucleolar RNA SNORD58